rnacentral:misc_RNA from 1 species
GGUAUAUGGUUGUUUGGAAAUCAUAGUUUAGUUCUAUUUGAUUUAUAGAGCAUUAAAUAACUGAUACAGUUAAGCUCAACCAGUUUGGACUGUGGAAUCUUUAUUGAUCUGAAUAUCGAAGUUCUAUAUAGCCGUUUUUGCCAAUCCGAGUUCCUCAAUUAUAUAACCACUUAACCAGAGAUCACAGUUUCUAGGCCAAGUUGAAGUCAUUGAAACGAUUGUGGGAGCUUAUAAUUCUAGUAAUAUG